CAGCAUCUAUGUGUUGUUCACUUGGCCCAUCCAUUAGUCGUUGCGUGAAACAAAAUAACACCACAUGUCCACCAAUUUUUUUCCAACUGAAAACUCAUCUACAAGCUAAAUCUGAAUCCAGAGCAGCGUGUUUGCUUCCCAAAUGCAAGGAAACCGGAUGAAACAAAGCUAGAACUAAUUAACAGGCUACUCAUACAUCUAAGAAAAAACAUGCUACUGACAAGGAGGCUUGCUUGCUGGCCUUCAAGCACCAACUACCCAGCACGCAAAGCCUAGAUGCUCUGCUUUGCAAUCUAUCACCCACCUAGGACGACCCGCAGCAGGAACUCCAUCGCGUGCAAGGAUCAAGGGAAUUGAGGCAUGUCAGCAUGGAUUAGCGUGCGCAGGCACAUGGAGCAAGUGGAUGCGUACGAGAUGGACCUGUGGGGCGGCGCUGAGCGGGAGGUUCAGGUCGACGGCCCAGGCGGCUCCCUCCCUGCAGGCUACGGAGAGAUCCAUACGGCACCGGCCACAGCUACUCCUCUUCGAUGGAUCAGGCGCCUCGCUUCCCAGCAGACUACGGCGGCGCCGGCAAUCUCCUGCUGGUCGAGGUGGGCCUGCGGUUGGCGGCGCGACGACUCGGUAUGGGAGAGAGAGGAACGCAGAGGAAGAGGAUCAGGACAGGAAGAAAGGAGAUCGGGAUUUCCCGAAUCGUAAAGCGCCGCCCCAAGGUGGGGCGCGAUCGAUCACCACACGGACUGUAGACGGGCGCACCCCAUGAUCGAUCAACCAUCAAAUCAGGCUGUAUAUAUAUGUGGUAUGCAUGUGCCAGCAAAUAACCAGCCCUUGUUGCAUGCGGGUACUAGCUAGUAAUCAUUCUGGACUUGAUGCUAGCCAAGCUCC
rnacentral:lncRNA from 1 species